GACGAACGCUGGCGGCGUGCUUAACACAUGCAAGUCGAACGGAAAGGCCCUGCUUUUGUGGUGUUCUCGUUUGGCGAACGUGUGUGUAUCACGUGAGUAACCUGCCCUUGACUUUGUGAUAUCUUCAGGAAACUUGGUCUAAUACCGUCUAGGAUCUCCUGCUGCAUGGUGGGGGUUGGAUAGUUUCGGCGGUUGGGGAUGGACUCGCGGCUUAUCAGCUUGUUGGUGGGGUAGUGGCUUACCAAGGGUUUGACGGGUAGCCGGCCUGAGAGGGUGACCGGCGACAUUGGGACUGAGAUACGGCCCAGAAUGCAACGGGAGGCAGCAGUGGGGAAUAUUGCACAAUGGGAGGAAGCAUGAUGCAGCAAAGCGGCGAGGGGGAAGAAGGCCUUCGGGUUGUAAAAAGAAUUAGGAUGAGAAGAAGAGAGAGUGACGGUAAUGGGUAAAGAAGCAACGGCUAACUACGUG
rnacentral:rRNA from 1 species